CGUUAUUCUGCGUUAACGAUGGAAACGGCAUCCUUUUUGGACGCCAUCCUGAGCGUAGUCGACCGGCAGCCAAAAAGAUACAGUGUACAGCGUGUUAAAAC
rnacentral:sRNA from 1 species